rnacentral:rRNA from 1 species
UACAGAGGGUGCGAGCGUUGUCCGGAAUCACUGGGCGUAAAGGGCGCGUAGGUGGCGGGACAAGCGUGCGGUGAAAGCUCGGGGCUCAACCCCGAGUCGGCCGUGCGAACUGUUUUGCUUGAGCACUGUAGAGGCAGGCGGAAUUCCGGGUGUAGCGGUGGAAUGCGUAGAGAUCCGGAAGAACACCGGUGGCGAAGGCGGCCUGCUGGGCAGUAGCUGACACUGAGGCGCGACAGCGUGGGGAGCAAACAGG